rnacentral:misc_RNA from 1 species
GAAAUGCGAUAAGUAGUGUGAAUUGCAGAAUUCAGUGAAUCAUCGAAUCUUUGAACGCACAUUGCGCCCUUUGGUAUUCCUUAGGGCAUGCCUGUUCGAGCGUCAUCUAAACCUUCAAGCCCUGCUUGGUGUUGGGUGCCUGUCCCGCCUCCGCGCGCUGACUCACCUCAAAUCCAUUGGCGGCCCCCGCGUCGGCCACGAGCGCAGCAGAAACGCGAACUCGUGAGCCCGUCCGGGCGGCUCCCAGAAGCUACACCCACCCAGUUUGACCUCGGAUCAGGUAGGGAUACCCGCUGAACUUAAGC